rnacentral:lncRNA from 1 species
GACCACCAACUCAAACACUCUAUCCAGGUGGAAUAUCUAGACAAGCCAAGCAUAGAGGAAUGAGCCAUAUAGCUCUGAUACCACUAUUGGCAAUUUCUUCUAAUAAUAUAAGGAAUUCAAUAUAGGACAUACCUUGCGGAAUUAACGAAUUUUGGAUCGCCGUCUCGUUCCUACGAACCGUUGCACGAACAACGAUGCAAAGCUUCAUCCAAGGGAGGAUUCAGUUGUAUCUAGCCCCAUUAGAUUGCCUACGUACCUUAUGCCAAUGCACAGGGAUCAAACCGCUGUAGUUCUUAGUAGCCUCCUAAUCCUAGGGCCAAGGUGAUACCCUAGCGGCUAAACUAAGAGAGAAAAAGAUUACUGGGAGUGGAGAGCAUUAUCUCUCCUCUCUAUACCUAAGAGAAUUGUUUUU